GGGCGUAAGGGUGCGUAGGCGGUUUGAUAAGUCAUCUGUGAAAUCUAUGGGCUCAACCCAUAGUCUGCAGGCGAAACUGUCGGGCUUGAGUAUUGGAGAGGUGAGUGGAAUUUCCGGUGUAGCGGUGAAAUGCGUAGAUAUCGGAAGGAACACCUGUGGCGAAAGCGGCUCACUGGACAAUAACUGACGCUGAGGCACGAAAGCUAGGGGAGCAAACAGGAUUAGAUACCCUGGUAGUCCUAGCCCUAAACGAUGAUUGCUUGGUGUAGCAGGUACCCAAUCCUGCUGUGCCGAAGCUAACGCGAUAAGCAAUCCGCCUGGGGAGUACGGUCGCAAGGCUGAAAUUCAAAGGAAUUGACGGGGGCCCGCACAAGCGGUGGAGCAUGUGGUUUAAUUCGACGCAACGCGAAGAACCUUACCUGGGCUCGAAAUGUACAUGAAUCCGGCAGAAACGUCGGCGUCUAGCAAUAGACAUGUAUAUAGGUGCUGCAUGGCUGUCGUCAGCUCGUGUCGUGAGAUGUUGGGUUAAGUCCCGCAACGAGCGCAACCCUUAUCUUCAGUUGCUACCAUUUAGUUGAGCACUCUGACGAAACCGCCUCGGAUAACGGGGAGGAAGGUGGGGGAUGACGUCAAGUCCUCAUGGCCUUUUAUGUCCAGGGCUACACACGUGCUACAAUGGGCCGGUACAAACCGCUGCAAACCCGCGAGGGGGAGCUAAUCGGAAAAGCCGGCCUCAGUUCGGGAUUGGAGUCUGCACUCGACUCCAUGAAGCUGGAAUCGCUAGUAAUCGUGGAUCAGCAUGCCACGGUGAAUACGUUCCCCGGGCCUUGUACUCACCGCCCGUC
rnacentral:rRNA from 1 species